UCGCUCCUACCGAUUGAAUGAUCCGGUGAAGUGUUCGGAUCGCGGCGACGUGAGUGGUUCGCCGCCUGCGACGUCGCGAGAAGUCCACUAAACCUUAUCAUUUAGAGGAAGGAGAAGUCGUAACAAGGUUUCCGUAGGUGAACCUGCGGAAGGAUCAUUGUCGAAACCUGUCCAAAACAGAACGACCAGCGAACUAACGAUCACCACUCGCGGUGGGCUGGUUUCUUAAUUGAUCCAAUGCCCACCCGAUCCGUGGUUUCGUGCAUUCUCCCGGCCAGGGUCAUUGUCUUGGUCUGGUGUUGCACGUUGCUUCCGGAUUUCACAAAACCACGGCACGAAAAGUGUCAAGGAAAAUACAACUGAACGGCUGGUAUUUGCCUCCCCGGAGACGGAGUGUGCGCGGAUGCUUAGCUGUGAUCUAAAGUCUAAAACGACUCUCGGCAACGGAUAUCUCGGCUCUCGCAUCGAUGAAGAACGUAGCGAAAUGCGAUACUUGGUGUGAAUUGCAGAAUCCCGUGAACCAUCGAGUCUUUGAACGCAAGUUGCGCCCCAAGCCUUUUGGCUGAGGGCACGUCUGCCUGGGUGUCACAAAUCGUCGUCCCCCCUCAUCAUUUGAGAAGUAGGGACGGAAGUUGGUCUCCCGUGUGUUACCGCACGCGGUUGGCUAAAAUCUGAGCAAAGGACGCCGGGAGCGUUCCGACAUGCGGUGGUGAACAUGAUCCACUUUCAUAUAUUCGGUUGCUCUUGUCCGGAAGCUCUA
rnacentral:rRNA from 1 species